GCCGAUGUAAUGUACUGGCUUCUUGAUAUAUUUAUGUAAGUGUAAAUAAAAAUAGUGUAAUAUACUAUUUUUAUUGGACUUAAAGAAAUAAAAUAUAAGUCGGAAACGACUUGUGCUGAAAUUGGAGUGGAAACAAAAGAUUUAGAAUUUUCUGUAAGAAGCGGGGCUGAUCUUUUAGCAGAAAAUUCACAGUGUCAGAAAAUUAUGAAAAAUUGAGAAUAUGUCGAAAUUAUUUUUAUGAGGCUAGAUUUAAAAUUUCAUGUCUUUCCGACACCUGAAAAGUGAAAAAUAAAAUAUAACUACUAUCUGCUAAAGAUUCUAGUCAGUAAAGUUUUCGGUGACCAAAAAUAUUCUAAACACUGAAAAUUUAAGGUAUAUUUCUUUUUAUUAGCUUAAACUGAGCCCGACUGUCAAAUUUGAGCACAAACGGACAUUCAGAAGGGCUCCGGCGAAAAAGAAUAGAUUCUGAGCUGCUAAACUGAAAUUAUGUUGAUGUGAGGAGUAUUGACUCUAAAAGGG
rnacentral:lncRNA from 1 species